CAGCCUCAGGACGCGAGUGGUCGGAGAGCCGAGGGGCGGGGCCAAGGAGCAGCGCGCCGUCGCCUCCCUCCGCCCCGCCGCGGCGAAAGGUCUAGAAACCCGAAACGGCGAAAAAAACAUGCUUUCUCUCCCCAAGGGUGUAGUUGGCGGUUUGCCGUACACGAAAUUGAGAAAAUGAGGCCACAACCGCACAGAUACCAAAAUGGCAACUGAUUGGCUUCUACGCGUGUCCCGUGUUUUUGUCUGACUCUGAGGCCACAAUCCUCAAGGAGAAGGGAAGAAAGGUUCAAUAAUUGACGAUACCUCCAUACAACAGGAGAGAGAAAUAUCAUCUUUCAAGAAAAAUAUUAAUUUCAUAUUUCAUGAAAAAUAUUCAAAAACAUGAAAUGAGCAAACAGUA